AUACUUACCUGGCAGGGGAGAUGCCAUGAUCAAGAAGGUGGUUUUCCCAGGGCGAGGCUUAUCCAUUGCAUUCCGGAUGUGUUGACCCCUGUGAUUUCCCCAAGUGUGGGAAACUCGACUGGACUGCAUAACUUGUGGUAGUGGGGGACUGAGUUCGCGCUCUCCCCUG
rnacentral:snRNA from 1 species